CGCCUCAGAGCGGGAUCGAACCCCCGACCGCUGCAGUGGAAGUCCAAGGACAUAACCACUGCGCCACAGUCUC